rnacentral:lncRNA from 1 species
UGAAAAUUUGGCUAGAGAAGGAUUCUCAAAAAAUGGCCUUGAUCAUAUGACAUUCGCAUGCAAUUCAAUCAAUCAUCAAGAUUAAGGCAAUAUCAUUCAUGCUUUCCUGUGAACAAUUCAUAUAAUCAUAAAAACUCUGGAGCUCAAACCCUCACACAACAUGCUUUCUCACACAAGAUUCAUUCAUACACCCUACUUAGCAUCAUAACCACAAUCAUAAUUCAUCACCCAUCUGUUUCAAAGAAUAUCAACAUGUAAUGCAGCUCAAUUAUCAUCCACAUCAAAUCAUCAUCAAAUAGUCUCAUCAUGCAUAAUUAUUCAGUCAAACACUUUCAG